CGCGCCCGCCGCCGAGUCCCGUCUCCUUAGGACACAGCCUCUGAGCGAAAUGACAACCAGCUGGAGGGAGGCAGCCUGGCAUUUCCGGUUUGGGGGGGAGGACACACCUCCUGCCCCGCCUUUCUCUCGUCUCUUCAGGCAGAGGCCGCGCCCCCGCCUGCUGCACCAGCCUCUUCCUGGCGACGGCCAUUUUUGGUAGGGGCACGAAGGUGCCACUCCGACAGCCAUCUUUCUGAGGGGCAAGCUUCCAAGCAAAGAGCCAUCUUGGAUUGGGGCAAGCAUCUACUAGCUGCCAGGGCGACGGCCAUCUUGGAUUGAAGAAAGCAGGCGCUUGAUUUAAAGUCCCUGUCCAAAAAGGAGUGAAAAGAGGAGAUACAACCCCUUCCCAGAACCAGAUGCCACAAAUAUAUCUGAGGACUGCGGGGGGCCAGUCUGCCUGAGACUGAAGGAAUUGUCUGACUGAAGGAAGAAUAAGGCAACUUUGUCUGAUGAACUGGAGUGGUGAUUAAUUCAUUUUCUCCUUCUAACCCUUUGUAGUACAAGUUUUUCCUCCAUAUUUUGUGUUGAACUAACCCUCCCACCACCCCCAUUGCUGCCAACACUCAUUGGUUAUUAUUACUGCAGUGAAAUCUAAUCAGAACUAAGAUCGACUCAUUACCCAGAGAAAACGCGUCUCUCAGACAAAGCAGCAAUUUAGUCUGAGUCACUGCAGCAUCCCUGAAUGUAUCCGAAACAAUAAAAAUCUGGGUAAACCAGUCCAUUAGUGAAAGAGCUGUCACCUCUUCCUCCUCCUGCACAGUCCCAAUAAGAAGCUCAACAAAUUCUGCUUGCCACAGAUAUGGCACGGAACAGGAAAUCCUCCUAUACCUUUUGUUCUCAGAAUACGUACUUCAGAGAAAGUUUGUGGCCCACCAAUUUGUUGCCUCUGCAUUAUAAUAGCUCUUAAAGAGGGGCUGGGAAGGGGAUAUUUUUAGCACUCUGCAGCAAGCCUAUGAUGUGCUGAGGAUCAGUACCUAGGCUACCAUCUAUUGUUUUAGAUCCCAAUCCUGACUGAGUGGUGAGUGCGGUGUCACACUGAACCCUAAUUAAGUUAAUAGAAAUUUGACUGAACACUGAAAUACGGUUCUCCUCUGGCUGUCCAAGGAAUAGGCCCCACAUGAGUAGUCUGGGGCUCUGUCACCCCUCUCCCAUGGGAGAAGGAAGGACCCAUGUGAAUAUCUAGGCUGAAAGUGAUGUGGGAAAAGGAGCAUGGGGACUAAAUACUGAGCUGCUUUUUUCCUUCCUCAGCAUAGUUGCGAAAAAGUUAUGCUUUUGGCUAACUGCCAAACUACAAUGCUGGCUUUGAACUUUGACUGUCAUGGGCACCAGUGCCAAGCAGAGCUAUCUGAAAUGAGAUUAUAACCAGCUGCAUUAGUAAUAUAAACUGCUUCACAGAGAGAUUCUCAAAGGUGCAAAGGAGAGUUAGCUCUAUAAUCCGGUAGGGACUGUCAGAAAGAGACAGCUCCAACAGAAAUGCAUGUUUCCCAUCACGCCCCACCAACCUGUGGCAUCAACAGCUUGUCAUUUUUACCAGGGCACUUGAGAUAUUUGGUGCUUCUAAGUACCCAAGUCUCAGAUUUCUUUAAAAAAAAAAGAUUUUUAGCCCUAAUGAUUACCAGGUAUAGCUUGAAAGUGUAGCUUAAGUUCUCCCAAAAGUUUUAAAAUCAGAAGGCAAACAAAAAGAACCCCAAACUUCAUGAUUUUGAGAGCUCUGAUUCAUGAUUUUUGAAGGCUUAGGAGUUGGCAAUAGAGAACACACUUCAACUUUAACCUGAAGUGACCACCUUCAGGUCUGUGAGCAAAGUUCACAUGCUCUACAUAGCCAUCCCUGACAAAAAGAGAGACCAUUGUGGCUGGA